CCUACGGGUGGCAGCAGUGGGGGAUAUUGCACAAUGGGGGAAACCCUGAUGCAGCGACGCCGCGUGGGUGAAGAAGUAUUUCGGUAUGUAAAGCCCUAUCAGCAGGGAAGAAAGAAGACGGUACCUGACUAAGAAGCCCCGGCUAACUACGUGCCAGCAGCCGCGGUAAUACGUAGGGGGCGAGCGUUAUCCGGAUUCACUGGGUGUAAAGGGAGCGUAGACGGCCGUGCAAGCCAGGAGUGAAAGCCCGGGGCCCAACCCCGGGACUGCGCUUGGAACUGUGCGGCUGGAGUGCGGGAGGGGCAGGCGGAAUUCCUGGUGUAGCGGUGAAAUGCGUAGAUAUCAGGAGGAACACCGGCGGCGAAGGCGGCCUGCUGGACCGCGACUGACGUUGAGGCUCGAAAGCGUGGGGAGCGAACAGGAUUAGAUACCCUAGUAGUC
rnacentral:rRNA from 1 species